rnacentral:rRNA from 1 species
AACGAACGCUGGCGGCGCGCCUAAUACAUGCAAGUCGAGCGAGAAGACGUAGCAAUACGUUUGUAAAGCGGCGAACGGGUGAGGAAUACAUGGGUAACCUACCCUCGAGUGGGGAAUAACUAGCCGAAAGGUUAGCUAAUACCGCGUACGCUCCUUGGACUUCGGUUCAGGGAGGAAAGCGAUACCGUGGGUAUCGCGCUCUUGGAUGGGCUCAUGUCCUAUCAGCUUGUUGGUGAGGAACGGCUCACCAAGGCUUCGACGGGUAGCCGGUCUGAGAGGACGAUCAGCCACACUGGCACUGCGACACGGGCCAGACUCCUACGGGAGGCAGCAGUAAGGAAUAUUGCGCAAUGGGCGAAAGCCUGACGCAGCGACGCCGCGUGGGGGAU